rnacentral:misc_RNA from 1 species
GAUGAAGAACGUAGCGAAAUGCGAUAAGUAGUGUGAAUUGCAGAAUUCAGUGGAUCAUCGAAUCUUUGAACGCACAUUGCGCCCCUUGGUAUUCCAUGGGGCAUGCCUGUUCGAGCGUCAUUUGUACCUUCAAGCUUUGCUUGGUGUUGGGUGUUUGUCUCGCCUUUGCGUGUAGACUCGCCUUAAAAUAAUUGGCAGCCGGCGUAUUGAUUUCGGAGCGCAGUACAUCUCGCGCUUUGCACUCAUAACGACAGCGUCCAAAAGUACAUUUUACACUCUUGACCUCGGAUCAGGUAGGGAUACCCGCUGAACUUAAGCAUAUCAAUAAGCGGAGGA